rnacentral:rRNA from 1 species
AGCGGCAGACGGGUGAGUAACACGUAAGUAACCUACCCCAGAGACAGGGAUAACCCUAGGAAACGAGGGCUAAUACCAGAUGAACUCCGCGAGGAGUAAAGGCUCCGGCGCUCUGGGAGGGGCUUGCGGCCCAUCAGCUAGUUGGUAGGGUAAAGGCCUACCAAGGCGAAGACGGGUAGGGGGUGUGAGAGCACGACCCCCCACAAUGGGACUGAAACACGGCCCAUACUCCUACGGGAGGCAGCAGCAGGGAAUAUUGCACAAUGGGCGAAAGCCUGAUGCAGCGACGCCGCGUGAGUGAAGAAGGCCUUCGGGUCGUAAAGCUCUUUUGUAGGGGAAGAGGAAGGACGGUACCCUGAGAAAAAGCGUCGGCUAACUACGUGCCAGCAGCCGCGGUAAGACGUAGGACGCGAGCGUUAUCCGGAAUUACUGGGCGUAAAGGGCCAGCAGGCGGCUAGGUAAGUUGUGCGUGAAAGCCUCGUGCUCAACGCGAGGAAGCCGGACAAUACUGUCUAGCUAGAGGGCAUCAGAGGGGAGUGGAAUUCCCGGAGUAGCGGUAAAAUGCGCAGAUAUCGGGAGGAACACCGAUGGCGAAGGCAACUCCCUGGGGUGUACCUGACGCUAAGUGGCGAAAGCUAGGGGAGCGAACAGGAUUAGAGACCCUGGUAGUCCUAGCUGUAAACGCUGGGUGCUAGGUGUGGGGCGUAGAAGCUCUGUGCCGGAGCGAACGCGAUAAGCACCCCGCCUGGGAAUUACGGUCGCAAGGCUAAAACUCAAACGAAUUGACGGGGCCCCGCACAAGCAGCGGAGCGUGUGGUUCAAUUCGAUGCUACACGAAGAACCUUACCUGGGUUUGACAUGUACGUGGUAGAGAAGCGAAAGCGGAUUGACCCUUCGGGGAGCGUACGCAGGUGCUGCAUGGCUGUCGUCAGCUCGUGCCGUGAGGUGUCGGGUUAAGUCCCGUAACGAGCGCAACCCUUGCCCUUAGUUACAAGUGUCUAGGGGGACUGCCGGCGGGAAGCCGGAGGAAGGUGGGGAUGACGUCAAGUCAGCAUGGCCCUUAUGUCCAGGGCUACACACACGCUACAAUGGUCAGUACAAAGGGUAGCGAAGCCGCGAGGUGGAGCGAAUC